rnacentral:rRNA from 1 species
AUUGAACGCUGGCGGCAGGCCUAACACAUGCAAGUCGAGCGGAUGAAGGGAGCUUGCUCCUGGAUUCAGCGGCGGACGGGUGAGUAAUGCCUAGGAAUCUGCCUGGUAGUGGGGGAUAACGUCCGGAAACGGGCGCUAAUACCGCAUACGUCCUGAGGGAGAAAGUGGGGGAUCUUCGGACCUCACGCUAUCAGAUGAGCCUAGGUCGGAUUAGCUAGUUGGUGGGUUAAAGGCCUACCAAGGCGACGAUCCGUAACUGGUCUGAGAGGAUGAUCAGUCACACUGGAACUGAGACACGUUCCAGACUCCUACGGGUGGCAGCAGUGGGGAAUAUUGGACAAUGGGCGAAAGCCUGAUCCAGCCAUGCCGCGUGUGUGAAGAAGGUCUUCGGAUUCUAAAGCACUUUAAGUUGGGAGGAAGGGCAGUAAGUUAAUACCUUGCUGUUUUGACGUUACCAACAGAAUAAGCACCGGCUAACUUCGUG